rnacentral:rRNA from 1 species
GACGAACGCUGGCGGCGUGCUUAACACAUGCAAGUCGAACGGAAAGGCCCUGCUUUUGUGGGGUGCUCGAGUGGCGAACGGGUGAGUAGCACGUGAGUAACCUGCCCUUGACUUUGGGAUAACUUCAGGAAACUGGGGCUAAUACCGGAUAGGAGCUCCUGCUGCAUGGGGGGGGUUGGAAAGUUUCGGCGGUUGGGGAUGGACUCGCGGCUUAUCAGCUUGUUGGUGGGGUAGUGGCUUACCAAGGCUUUGACGGGUAGCCGGCCUGAGAGGGUGACCGGCCACAUUGGGACUGAGAUGCGGCCCAGACUCCUACGGGAGGCCGCAGUGGGGAAUAUUGCACAAUGGGCGGCAGCCUGAUGCAGCAACGCCGCGUGCGGGAUGACGGCCUUCGGGUUGUAAACCGCUUUCGCCUGUGACGAAGCGUGAGUGACGGUAAUGGGUACAGAAGCCCCGGCUAACUACGUG